GACGAACGCUGGCGGCGUGCCUAAUACAUGCAAGUAGAACGCAGUUGCGAACGGGUGAGUAACGCGUAGGUAACUGCCUCAUAGCGGGGGAUAACUAUUGGAAACGAUAGCUAAUACCGCAUACUGUGAGAUGGACCUGCGUUGUAUUAGCUAGUUGGUGAGGUAAAGGCUCACCAAGGCGCCGAUACAUAGCCGACCUGAGAGGGUGGUCGGCCACACUGGGACGGGGAACCGGCCCAGACUCCGUAGGGGGGCAGCAAUAGGGGAACUUCGGCAAAGGAGGGAAGGCUUACCGAGGAACGCCGCGGUAUGGGAGAAGGUUUUCGGAUCGUAAAGCUCUGUUGUUAGAGAAGCGUUAACUAACCAGAAAGGGACGGCUAACUACGUGCCAGCAGCCGCGGUAAUAC
rnacentral:rRNA from 1 species